rnacentral:rRNA from 1 species
AGAGUUUGAUCAUGGCUCAGAUUGAACGCUGGCGGCGUGCUUUACACAUGCAAGUCGAACGGCAGCAUAGGUGCUUGCACCUGAUGGCGAGUGGCGAACGGGUGAGUAAUACAUCGAGACAUACCUAAUAGUGGGGGAUAACUGAUCGAAAGAUUGGCUAAUACCGCAUAAUCUCUGAGGAGGAAAGCUGGGGACGGGAAGCCGCCUGGCGCUAGUAGAGUGGUCGAUGGAUGAUUAGCUAGUUGGUGAGGUAAAGGCUCACCAAGGCGAAGAUCAAUAGCUGUUCUGAGAGGAAGAUCAGCCACACUGGGACUGAGACACGGCCCAGACUCCUACGGGAGGCAGCAGUGGGGAAUUUUGGACAAUGGGGGCAACCCUGAUCCAGCAACGCCGCGUGAAUGAAGAAGGCCUUAGGGUUGUAAAGUUCUUUUGUCUGGGGACAAGAGCCACUGGGUAAUAUACAGUGGAGAUGAGGGUACCAGAAGAAUAAGCACCGGCUAACUACGUGCCAGCAGCCGCGGUAAUACGUAGGGUGCGAGCGUUAAUCGGAAUUACUGGGCGUAAAGGGAGCGCAGGCGGAUAUAUAAGUUAGAUGUGAAAUCCCCGAGCUUAACUUGGGAACGGCAUUUAAGACUGUAGAUCUAGAGUUUGUCAGAGGGGGGUAGAAUUCCAAGUGUAGCAGUGAAAUGCGUAGAGAUUUGGAGGAAUACCGGUGGCGAAGGCGGCCCCCUGGGAUAGAACUGACGCUCAUGCUCGAGAGCGUGGGUAGCAAACAGGAUUAGAUACCCUGGUAGUCCACGCCCUAAACGAUGUCUACUUGCUGUUGGGGGAAACCUAAGUAGCGAAGCUAACGCGAGAAGUAGACCGCCUGGGGAGUACGGUCGCAAGAUUAAAACUCAAAGGAAUUGACGG